AAAUUACUUCUGGCCAUGUAGUUUGGAUAGCUGUUAGAACACAUGCUUUGUCUGCAUGGAACUGCAGCUCUGCUUAAUUGGUAUUUUCCCCUUGGUUACUGGGUUGAAAAGUUCAGUUUGUCACAGCUAAUCAUUAAUCCACAGCAACUCCAAAAUGUGUUCAGUGCACUGAAUAUAUUGAGUAGUACACAUUGAGGAUGGAAUAAUAAAUUGAAAGGUCAUUUGUGUGCAGUGAAGUAUGAUUAGGGGCCUCCACAGUUUGUGCACCUCUGAGCUCAGAUACCACUGUCAGCUCUACAGUGACAGUGCAUAGCACAGGGACAGUGGGUUGACCUCAGCUGAGGGCCAAACUCCUCCCAUCUUUUCACUCACUCCCUCUUCUCAGGACAGUUAAAAAGUGUUUACCUGAAACAUUUAUCUAUUUAUUUAACAUUUAUCUAGCUCGGUGGCUGGUGACAUUUUCUGUAGCAGGGGAUAAAAGAUGCUCAGUGUUUCUGUGUUGGUUGAUUACAGUAUGCAGCUGGCAAGAACUUUUAGUGUGUGCAUUAUCUGUUUUCUGCCUUUUAACAUUGGAUCUUCUGCAUGUUUACAUGAAUCACUGAGAAAGAGUGUUACACCUUUAUCAAUUCUAUGUGUGAUGAAGGACUACUAGGAUGAGUAGAGAGAUUAUACAGAGAUGACUAAUUUUAACCUUUAUAAAUAUCUUGGAGGUUAAAUAGCAAAGAAAAAGGAACUAUUUUAAUUAGAGAAAGUAUUAGUUGUCCCUUCUUUUGAUCCUGUGAUCAAGAGGCUGACCAUGAGUGAGUUUACCACUUUGCUGUAGUUGGGAACAUCCUUUUAACUGAAAGUUGUAUCUCAGUCUGCAAUGUAACCCUUACAGCAUAAGAGUUGCUACCAGUGACUCUUUCUCAUUUCCUUUUCUUCUUGCUUUGAUAAAGUUCUUUCAAAUUCCUAAAAAGAAGACACCUGAACAAUACAUCAGUGAUAGUUAACUGUCUUAAUUUAAGCUGUCCACAGCAGCUGAAGGCUGGUGAUGGCAGCAAAAGAGCAGAGAGGCACAGCCUUGUGUAACAUCUGCUUCUCAACCCAAGGAGUUGUCUCCUAACUGCUCUACAACUUCCUUGUUGGAAUCCUAAGCAGGAUUUUCCCAUUCUCUACAAUGCAAGUGAAAGUCUGUGUCCUGGAGAGAGGAUCUAACCCUGAAGGUGUGAUCAUAUGCUUUAAGAGAUUUCUUUAAAAGCUUAAUGCACAACUGAAAGAAAUGCAGGAAGAGAAACUAGAAAGGACAAAGGACAGAAAAAGUAAUGUACAAAAUGCAAGAUAAUAAAAUUAAUUAUAGUAAUCUGACUCGUGUUCAAAUUGAGAUAUGAUUAAUAUAUUUUGCUUAUCAUUUUUUUGAAUAUUUCUUUUAUUCUUUAUUUAAUUCUCUACCCUCACUCAGGAUAUUUUAAAGCUUCUUCCCAGGCAUGUAUUUGAUUUCUAAUCAUUAAAUGCUUACAGAGAAGUUAUAAAAAUUCAGACUUAAGUUUUACAGUAAUCUUCCCCUGUUAGAAUAUGUUCUGAGAAAGUUCUGAGUAUUUUUAAAUAGGGUAGAAAUGGGGUUAAAUCUCCCUUGAUUCUAAAAGCACUUGCACAUGUUUCGGACAACUCAGCUCUCUGAUUUUAAUUAGUAAAAGGCACUUUCAGAUCUUUUCAGCAAGGAAAAAUACAGGCAAUUUCAAGCACAGGGUGGAUUUUACCAUUAUAUUUGCAAAAAAAAAGAAUGAGUUUGUACAAUUCGUUGUAGAAGUAUUGCCAAAGGUACAUAUCUAAUAGUAUGUGAGCAAUCCUGAGAAAAAUCUACACAGAAACACUGCUUCGUAUUGAAAGGAGAUUAAGUUUUACCUUUGCACAAAGAAUGUAUUUUGGAAAAUUCUUAAUGGCUUUUGAUAUAGCCAAGAUUUUUCCUGUUGAACUAGUUGUGCUGGAUUGACUGAGAACUAUUUUAAACUAACUUUAAGUUGGCUUUUCUUUUGUUGUUGUUUCGUUUAUUUUAAGGUAGUGAAAAUUGAAAAUUCUAGUAAUACUUUUUGGAGUACAGUAUAAAAACCACUGUAAAUUUCCCUGAAUUCCUAAGGAAGUUUGAGAAAGUAAUCUAUAUGCUCUUUAUAUGUGCUAGUAUGCCACAGGCUAUUUUCCUAGGAAAUGAGAAAAAUGAACUACUUCACUACACAAUUUUUGACAUAUAUUUGUUAUUCUCUGUUCACAAGGACAUCAAUAUGCUUUUAAUAAAGCUCCAGCUUUAGAAGUUGCUUAAAAGACUGUUUCUGAAGAUGUAAUAAGUUUCUGUUAGAAAAUAUUUUCAAGUAAAAAAAUAAUUUGCAACUGCUUGCAACCAGAAAACAGUCAAUAAUGAUCUUAAGCAUGAAUAGAUUUCUGAGCUCUCUUGAUAUGCUUUUGUUGUAGCAACAGCUGUGAAUGAAUAUUGUUUGAAGUAAACAUCUUUUCCUUGCAGAAAUGUUGUCCAGCUGCACUGUUCAAGUUACAACAUAUGUCCCAGUGUCUUAACUAUUGUGCAAAAACUGGUCUGGAAUAUUUCCUGACAGCAUCUGAGGAGUUAAAAUAACUUUUUCCUUGAGCAUUGUUUUGUCUUUUUGGGUGACAAAAGACAUUUGUACGGCUUUUUGUUUUGUUCUACUAACUCAUUCUGAGAUCUGGUUGCAUAGAUGUAGUUAUAACUGAGCUAUUUGACACACUGUAAUACAUUAACAGAAAACUUUCCUACAGACUUAGAGUUGCCUGUAGGUAUAAUCAUGCCCUUCUGGAAUGGCUUGUUCAAAACCAGCUCACUCUGAUGACCAAGAAUGUAGAGGCAAUCUCGAGCUCUACAGAUUUCAUAGCCAAAGGUUAUUUGCCUGCACUGAAGCUGUAUCCACUGUCUGAGGAGUAGCUGCUGUGGUAGUGAAGGGCUUAAUUAAAGCAGUUUGACAGUGAUAGAAUGAUGCACUCUGGAAGUGCUUCAUGGUGAUGGAAUUGAGUGAAAUGUUUUUCUUGCACAGCGAUGCACAUGACACAAAGAAAGGAGUGGAUAUGUAUCUCGAAAGAUUUAAUGUGUUUCCUGUACAGUACUGCUUCAGCUGCAGAACCUGGGGUGGUCUUGCUAUUGACAGCAAUUAGGUUGGAGAUAAGUGUAAGCUGGGUGCUCAAUGAGAGGAAAGUAAAAGUGUAAUUCUCUUCAGGAGAAUAGGGCUGUAAAAAGAAGCACAUAUAACAAUUUUUACCAUGAAGCAAGAAAGUGUUUUAGUGUGGGAAGGAUAAAGGUGGUUCUUGUUUUAUAUCACUGAUAAACAAAGGUACUCAUGGCACAGGCUGGCAUUGAAAACAGUGUCUGAUGCAUAAGCUACUUAAUUCUUACCCCCUGCUUCUCAGAACAUUGAGAUAUGCUAGUCUUGGCAUUCAUGGGCAUGACAUUCAGCAGAGGAAAUACCUGUGUAUUAUUUUUUCUCAAUUUCUCAGAAUCUGGAUAACUGUGGUCGUUACAGAGUACCUUUAGGUGUUAGAGAACACCAUUAUUGAGAUGAUUUGCACUUGAAAUGCUACUUGUAGCUGGGCAGGGAGAAAGGAUGCUCUGGUUUCAACAUACCUCAGUAUAUUAAGUAUAGUACACCUUGAGCUGGCCAUGGUUUGCAGGCUUGGAAGAUGUAGAUAACAGCUUAGUGAGAGGAGUCGCAGAUAUCUAAGUGUCCAAAUUCCAGGUCUUGUCAACUUUAACAUCCAGUGGUUACAAUGACUUUAAGGACUAGAGGUAAAAAACCCAACUCUCUAUAUCUUCAACCCCUUCUUGUGACUCCUUGUAGCAAAUUUGUCAGCAGUGCUAUAAUUUUUUUCUUCUCCCUUUAUGUCACUGCAGCUUAAAAAUAUUCCUUGAUUUCUGGCACUAGAUGCAGACUCAUUAAUUUGUGUGGCCAACCACAAAUAAGCCGUGUUGUGCCUGUUGGCCCUGGGGCCAAGGAAUAGUUCCUCACCCUUUCAUUUUAUCUGUACAGGCAUAGAGGUCUCUGAUAAAGUCAUGAGAACACGACUUUGUAAUUUUUAUUUUAAGGCAGCAUCCUACUUGGUUGAUAAUGGAACUUCUAGAAGCUCCACUGCACAGAGACAGAAAUUAAAACUUCUGGAGAACUGUUUCCAAAGAGCCAUUGGUUGUUGAUGUCCUUUUCCUGUGCAUUGAGGAGGACAAGGCAUCAUUUUCAUAGCUUGGCCUUACUGUCAGUCACCAAAUGACUGAGAUCCUGUACAAGCACAUAUCUGGAAAAACCUAUGUUCCACCUGCUGACACAAGUGAUACCUGCUUUGUGGAAGUUUAUCGGUUUAAGAUUCCUUCACCAAUGCUGAAACAAGCCAUAGACUACCCAGAGUUAUCAGUGCUUUCAGAAGAUCCCAGAAGAUCAUGAUGGGAAAAAAGGGGACAUUAAACUGACAAAAAAAUCUCCCUUUGGGUCUUUAAGCCAAUGGUUCACAUCUGCAUCUUAUAUGUUAUAGCUGGAGAACUUAAAGCUUACAAACAACUUCAGAAAUUCAAUGAAUUCUGUCUAAGUUUUCCCAGGUAAAUCUUCAUAAUUUAUUAGUGACAUAAAAUACUAGAGGAUGAGGUCCUAAAAAGGAAUUAUGUGGUGUGAUAAAGCUGCAGUACAGCCAAGGGAUUUUGGUUAAGUUAUCUUAUCCAAAUGACUGAUACCUACUGCUAGGAAGAUUGUCUAGGGUAAAAUAAAGCCCAGCCACUGUCCUGCAGUAGGAAGUAUAAAAGAGAGAAAUGUUGUCUGAAGGCUUCAGUUAAAAAUUUAAAAUGUCAAAUGAUGCAUGAAAGCAGGAGGCUUGUUACAGGGGAAAAAAAAGUUGCAGAAAUUAUUCAUAAUGAUCUAAUUUUCUUUGAAUUAGUUGUAGCAAGCUUGCCAAAGGAACAACCAGAGGAAAUACAAAGUAAUGUCUCAUUCGUUAUCUUGCGACUAAUAGAAGAAAAAGAAGAUUCUUGGAAAAUGUGAUGUAAAAAGUCACAAUUAAGGUUAACGAGGAGAAGAAAUUCCCAGCUGUUAUAAUGGAUUAUGAUUAACACCUGCCAUGCAGUAUUGCUGCCUCAGAGGAUUGGGGUGGUCCAUGUUCUAACUGAAUAAACUGACCUGAAUGUGUUGAGAUUGACCAAAAGCAUGGACUGACUUCUCAGUGCUCCAGUGAAAAGGGGAGAUUCUAUCAUUCAUAAGAAAUAUUAGAAUUUUUUUUUCCUUUUAGAGAGAAAAUUUUGGCUCGUUGGGAAACUAAUGGCUCGAAAGAGCCCAAGCUGGGAUUACUGGUAUGUUCUGUAUUACUGCAAGACUAUAGAUUUCGAGGUAACUGAAGGAAGUAUGUGAGUCUUAGAAAAGCUGGGAAAGGUAACUUUUAAAUGGAAUGGUUUCUCAGUUUUACCUGUGGCACAGAGAGCACACUGCUGCAAUUAAUGUUAUCAUUGUUUGUGCCAUGUUCUAAUGACAUAAGAGUAUUUUAAAUUUCUCUUUGAUUGUCUUUUGUCGUUUUAAUGAGGUCUGUUAUGUGUAGUAGAACAGCCAUUAAGGCUUUUUAAUGGUCACUGACAUGCAAUACUUCACUUUGAAAAGCCCGGUACAGUUGCUUCCUGAAAGGCACUAAAUAAACAAAGCUGCAAACUGAUGGCUUCUAUUCAUCUCACAGUGAAAUACCGUACUUGGGUCUGAUGAAGUUUCCUUCAGCAAUGCUGUCACUGUAUUUUAAAAUUUGAUUUUGAGAAAGCAUCUUGACAUAUAAAAAGCUAGUUGCAGUUCUUUGUUUUCCUUAACUAAAACUUGUGAAAAAAGGGCAUUAGAAACUGUUCUGUGUAUAGUGAAGUGGAAAGCCCUGAGGAAUACUGAGUGUCACUAGGAAAAGAAGAAAAGGGGCAAAGUUUGUAUGACUGAGGACUUUAUGGAAUUACAGUCUGGAGUUGAAACCACGCUGUUGUUUUUUCUUGCCUAGGGAAUUCAAAUACAAUGAGAGACCAGAUGUGUUUCAAGAUAAAUCUUUAGUAAAUAAUUAGGUUUAGAAAUCUGAAGGAACUGUGGAGACAUCCCAGUAGAGUAUAAAGCCAUUUUUGUUCCCUAUGAAAAUCAGAUUUUGAAGGAAUAGGAUGAAAGAUUCAAUCCUUUUCUUAAGUAACAUAGCAUUAGAGUUAGAGUUGGUAGGAACUGUCAUGAUCCAUUCCUGUUGGACAUAGGUUUUUACAAAGGCACUCUAAUAAAUUAGUUGAAGAUGAAGGCAUUUACCUCAAUUCUUUUAUUCUGGUCAUGAGAACAUUUUUUAAAGGUUAUGUCUCACACUUUAGAUAACUCCUGAUAUUUCUUCUUUUGCCUUCCUCCCUAUUCACUAUCUGCCUGAGAUUUUACCAAAGUCAGUCACCAUUCACCUCUGAAAAAUCUGAUUCAGACUCACAAGGAAGAGAACCAGUAUAAGAUAUUCGUUUGUAUGUUAAAGUUAAAAUAAACUUCUUUAGCCUUUGGUAUUUCCCAAGAAAUUUCCAAGAAAACUGCCUGAUUUCUGUUUAUGUUGUAAUUUCAUUCUUUUUUUCCUCCUAUAUAUUUUAAACUGUUAGAGAUAGUGAGCUGCUUAUGCCACAGAUAAGUCAGUCAUUAAAACAGAUGUUUCAUUCUUUAUUGUAUUGCCCCAUCUUCUCUCCUAUUUUUACCAAGCCAAUUGAUAGCUGGUUGGCUUGACUUGACCAAGAAAAUACCACAUAUAGUCAUGUAAAAGAGGGUGAAGUUUUGAAAAAUAUUUCUUUUUGUCUUUAUUUAAGGUUUUGAUUAUUGGCUUAAUUAGGCUAUUUGAUAAGGAAAGGUGAAUUCUCCAAAUUUCCAUGUUUUGAAGGAAAACAGUUGGAAGGAAACAGUUUCAAGAUGCUGAUUCAAAUUUAUUAUUGCAAAAUACAUAACUUGCUCAUUUUUGGCCUUCUUUUCCUCCUUCCAUGUGUGUGAGUAAAAUUCCAUAGAGUUCAUAGUGGCAAAGUUUGUUUCUACUCUGCCUCUAGAGAAGGUAGAACUCUGUACACACUGCAGAAGAGUCCCAUUUUAAGCAUGGCUUGGUGUCAUGUUGAUUAGUCUCCUGAUGCUGUACAGAAAUUCCAGUAUGUGAUGCCGUUUCUGUUGCUAGUAAGGUGUGCCUUAAUAUGUAUAAGCUGCAAGUGAAGGACACUUUGGAUGAAAACUAAUGAAAUGUGUGUUUCUUGCUUUGAUUUCAUCCAUUCAUUCUGAGCAACAAAUUCGUUCUCACAUACUUAAUCCUCCUGCCAAUUUACCUUGGCUCAGAGACUCAGGAUGGGAAUUUCCAAAGUCUUCUGAAAACUGCCUUUGGGGCCUGUUUAGGUGAAGACAUGAAUGAUUUCACUGCAGUUCUGGGAAGUACUCUUUGAAAUUUUACUGUUCAACUUCAGAAUUACAGACAAAUCUCCUUUUUUUUUAUUGAGUUGAAUUCUGCUACUCAGAAAGAAGUGAUGCAAUGGGUUCACAGUGAGUUGGAAAAAUUUUUUUUCACUGAUAUCAUUUGAGGUGACUUUCACCUAUUUUCCAUUCUCCUGUUUGCUCUUGUUCCUGUAGUGGAUGUUUCAUUUUUCCCAUCUUUCCAAUACUACAAGGAAGAGAUUGGCAGCUCAGUCACCUUUGAGUGUAACUGUGAUGAAAGCAAAUCUUAUGAUAUUGGAAUUGUUAAUAAUUACAGGUAGGCUAAUCUUAGGUUGCUUUAUGAUCAUAUUGUUCCUCCAUAUUUGUUCCAUAUUAUUCCUAUGAGAAAUGCAACAAAAUAUUAAUAGCUUCAUUUUGUUGUGGUGCUGCCCACAUUAAGCUGGGAAAGGAUUUAUGUCAGAGAAGGAGGUUCACUAGGAUGACAGAGCACUUAGUUUGGGUUUAGUGGGCAGUAGAAGCACAAUAACUGUGAUGCAGCUGCCUAAACAAAUGAGUUGACUAACAACUGUACAUGUAAUUUACAGACUUGGAACAGGUAGUGAUGUGAUUAUCUAGUGCUAUGUGUCUUAAGAGAGGUAAUUUGGAGCAUGCUUUUGCCCUAGGCAGGGUACAUGAAGGUCAUAACCUACUGGGCAGUAAUUUUCUUUGUUAAUGCAAAUGUCCUUUACCUUGCUUUGUAAAAUAGGUGAUACUUCUGGAAACAUUCACUAAUCCUCUGGUGUGAUGGGAGGUAAUAUUGUUGUUCCAGUGUAGCCACUUGUGUCCCUAUGAUCUGCUGCACAGGCAUGUCUAGUAUUCCUACCUAGAGGCAGAAGUACUGAAAAACGGAACAGAUCUUUGGCAUGUGCAUGUGACAUUAAGUAAGAGAAAAUCAGAUUCAAUGCUUAACAUUGUUUUAAGGAAAACUUUAAGAGGUAGGACCGGUUUACUUCAUCCAAGCUAUGUAAUAAACACUUCUUUUGUUGAUGUUUUGUGGUGGUAAAUACUUUAUUUCUUCUGUGAUACCUCUAUGGGUGAUUAAUCUUUAUAUCAAUGUGCUUAUGAAUUUACAGAUCCGUUUGUCUGUAAGUCCCCUGGAAGAUGACAACCCGUGUGCUCACAUUUAUGUUCUUUCUCUUGCAGUUUACUGGAGAUUCAUCUGCCCAGAGUGCUAAAGAUUGACUGUUGGGAGUAACCUAACAAUAAGAGAGUACCAGGCAGUGUAUUUGAUGAGAUUGAGACUUCCUUCCUGAGCAAAUAGCAUCUCAUCUGUCUUCUGAACAAUUUCAGUAUGGAGGGUGCUGUGUUAUUAGCAGCCAAAGUAGGCCAUGAAGCAAGGCUCGAUCUGUCACUGUUUCCACAACAAAAAGAAACUGAAGAUAUUUCUCCGGUAGGACUUCCUUCUCCUGUGUGCUCUUGCUAAUUGGCAUUUAUGCCAGAGUAAAGUUUGCAAUGCCUGUUUGAAAAUUUUGCCAAAAGGUCACAGAGUCAUUACUAUUCCACUCAAUACCUUAAACAUCAGAUUUUGAAAUGUAAGAAGUGUGGGACCUCGAGAAGCCAAGGAAUCAGCUGCUCCUGUCCGCGUGAGCAUUCCUCUUCAGUAUCACAAUGCAAAAUGAAAUGCACAUCAAUUAUUACAGAAAACUUUAAAACCAGGCCUCUUUAGUAACAGAGAGUUGUGUCUUGGAGGGACUAAAUCCACCAAAAUAUCCUGGGAAAGCCUAAGAUCAGCCAAAUUGCAGCAUAACCUCCCAGCAUUCUGAACAGAAGCAAGAGAGCAGGAAAAUGGUGCCAGUCUCUAACUGUGUGGAACAGGAUAAUGAGGCAAGUUUCUCUCCAUGGUCUGAGCCUUCUUCAGGAUAUGAUAAUUGAAUUGAUCUUACUCUACAGACAUGGAUGGUUUGGAAUGGCUGUUCCAUGGUUUCCCUCUUUGUUGCCAGCACAAUCUGUAAAGCUUGGAGAGAGAACACAUCUUCAUUCGGCUUUGCAAAAAAGGUCUAAAUCAGGUUUAGACUGAGAAUGUCAGAGGAUGGAAGACAUUGGAGCAAAGACAAGAGAAGGAUUUAUGAACCAAAUGGAUUGUGUUCACUGAAUGGACUAAGCUCCUGGAAGAAAAAAAACCCCAAACCUGUAUAAAUGUCCUUGUUUGAAGAAGGAAGAUGUGUAGAGAAGGAGAAAGGAGCUCAGAGAAAGAAAACAUGGGUUCAAUGACAAAGACAGCUGGAUGCUGCCCUGAGGAAAAGAGUCCUGUUGAAAUAGGAGCCAAGCCUAGAAGAGUUAACUGAGAUAUCUUGGCCUGAUAAGAAACCUCAAUACCUGUUUUGCUAGAAGAACAUUUUAGGAGCACUGGUUAAUAUCAUGUUCUGUUCUGCUCACUGGACCAAAGGCCUUACUAUAGAAAGAAUAGGAGUAGUACACACACAGUAAUAAAUUAGGUAAACUAGAUGUUUCAAUAAGAUCUGGAAGACCCAGAGCCAGGAUUUUGCAAGCUUGAAGAAUUCAGGUCACCUAAUUGAAGAGGUCAAAUUGAGGAAGACAUCCAUGGCAACCACCAUGGAUGAAGGCUUGAGGAGAAGACCCCCACAGUAGAAGACUGUGCAUGUCUGGAAAGACUCCACCCAGAGACCAGCCUACUUAUUAAUAUGCAUAAUAAAUGAUGUAACCAUGUAUCUAAAGUGUAUAAAAUGGCUUAGUUUUGCACUUGCAAGUGGAGCAAGUUUUUCCAGCAACAGCUUGCUUGCUCCCAGCGCUGUCAAUAAAUACCUUUGCUGCUCAAAGAUCAAAAGCCUCUGGGUAGUUUAUUAUACCAAAUUUUUCGGAUUCACUGUCCCUGCCUUCAUCUCACCAUCUCCCUGUGAUUUGGGCAAGCUCCUUAACGCAGAUUUUUCACAAGCAACAAUCAUUUUCUGAGUUCCCUCCUACAAGAAAUGCUAUAAGCAGCGAGGCAACGUAUGGGAACCACAGUCAGAUAAUUUUGACCACUACCAGCAUUCAGUGUUGGACACUGGAGAACAGGUUUACCUUUGGAAUCCCCAGGCUGAGAACAGGACCCAGUGCAAUCCCAGAUGUAGGUUGGCAGCAGUAACCAUCUGCAGGUGCCUAGAUUUCCACAUCUCUGCAAAACCUCUCCUUAGUUCUGAAGGGCAGUCCUUCCUUCAGGUUCAUUCUGAGCGUGGGAUCAGAGCACCCUUCUUGGGAACAGCACUGGCCCAGCAAGAGCAGAGGAACCUUUGGUGUGCAGGAACCUUUGAGGUGGGCACAAGCAGCUAAGGUUCAGUGUUCGGCACAGAAGCAGUGAGAAGGUGACAGAGUGGAUAUAAAGAACUGAUAAGGACAUACAACUUUGGCUCCCUUCUUUCUCAGUGUGGCAUUCAGAGGAGCCAGCUCUGGGGAAACAGCCUGCUGCCUCUGAGAAGUCACAUCCCAGUCAUCCCCUCAGCAUUUACCAUUACUCCUCAAUGUUCAGCAAAGGCCUCUUCCAGGGCAUAGCUGAAUGUGACUGGCUGCCUUCUCCUGAGCUGUGCAAUGGCUGGUUAUCCCCAUGCCAUUUUCCAGCAUCUGAUUAUGCAGGUUCUGCACUCGGCGUGUUGCAGUUUGGGCCACUUCUCCAGAUUUUUAUUAGUUUGCAGUCUACUUUUUCCUUCCAAAACAUUUUGUUCCCUCUGUUUAGUACUGUCUGAGGUUUUGUCAGCAGUUUGAUAACUGCAUCACAAGUGAAAGUGCUUGAAUAAUAUUGGAUGACCUACCCAUUUCCCUUCCUUUCAAUUACACUAGUUCCUCUGUGAGCCUCACUCCACAAUCCACCUUUCCAGCAGGUUGUGCCCCCUCAUGCUGACAGAUUCCUUGUUUCCUUAUAUUCAUUUCACAUGACAGCGUGUCAAAAGUCUUACUGAAGUCAAGACAUGUGGCAGCUACCGUUCCUCCUGUGUCACUUAGAUUUGUUAUCCUGUCACAAAAGGAAUAAUUUGUCAUAAUUUGUCCAUAACAAAAUGUGUGGGCUUCUUCCUCCUCCAGUCUCCAUUUUCUCUGAGUGCCUCUUCUGUUAGGUUUGCAAGCACGGGAGACUAUGUGUCUGCACUCUAGUGCCCUCACUCUUUCUGCCCCCAUCCUGAGGGCAGUCAUUCUACACCUGUUUUUUACCAACCUGGAGCCUAACACAUCAGUCAGACUGAGUUAGGGAAGGAGAUAAAAGGGAAGGAGAUAGGAAGCCCCCUCUCAGUCAAACCAAAGGUCUGUUAGCCCAGAAUGCAGAUUGCCUGCACCUGGCAGUGUGACAGCAGAGCCAGGGCACAGGGACCCUUCCCCAGUGAUACCCCUGUGUCCUCCAGAGAUCUCUCAGACCUUUUGUCUCUUUCAGGCAGCAAAAAGCUCAGCAAGCUGCCACAGUCACUCACAUCAAAUCAUAAACAGGAGUCCCCUUUUGUUCACAGCACUACUUGUUCAGUAAUUGUUCUCUACCCUUUUCCUGCUAAAGACAAUUUAAUUCUUAUUUUUGGUGACAUGAUCUAUUCCCUGUCACAAACAAAAUUAAACAUUUAAAUUUCGUCACUGAAGAUCCAAGUCAUUUGCAGCUGUGUUGUGUCUUGGUAAGUGAAAUAUUAUAUAUUAUUUUUAAAAUAGUCAUGUAUCUAAAAUUUAUGAUAACAUCACCCUUUGCAUCUGAUGGUAAAUGCAGCAUGUACUUUGACAGCAUUUCCAGAGGCAUGGAAAGUACAACUCUUCCAUUAUAGGAAUGUCCAGUUUGGCCCUAAGCGAGUGCAUAUUUGGUUCAUGAAUGCUGACCUAGGUGUAU